UACGUAGGUGGCAAGCGUUGUCCGGAUUUACUGGGCGUAAAGAGCGCGCAGGCGGUCGGCCAAGUCGAGUGUGAAAGCCCCCGGCUCAACUGGGGAGGGUCAUUUGAUACUGGUCGACUCGAAGGCAGGAGAGGGAAGCGGAAUUCCCGGUGUAGUGGUGAAAUGCGUAGAUAUCGGGAGGAACACCAGUGGCGAAGGCGGCUUACUAUGGUGUCAUUGACGCUGAGGCACGAAAGCGUGGGGAUCAAACAGG
rnacentral:rRNA from 1 species